rnacentral:lncRNA from 1 species
AAAUCCAUAUAUGUUUGGACUUAACUAAUUAAUCCAAUUAUAUUAAUUUGCAAUAUUUAUUUGGAACUUAAUAUAUUUUGAAUUUAAUAUAACCCGAAUUUCGUACGGAUUGUAAACUAAUAAAAUUUUACUGCCCACAGGUUGUUCUACAUAUCUUGGAGAAGAAUUUAGGAGGAAAAUUUUGAAUGCACAUUUAGGAUCUUGGAUAUUCUGGAAGCCUAGGAUUUGGAAGUUUGGGGGAAGUGAAGAGAGUAUUUUAUAGAUGAAAUUGGGUGAGUGAUCAGGUAAGAAAGGUUUAAGUUUGGGGAGGCGGGGUUUAUAAAAAGAAAAAGACCAAAACACCUUUUUUAAAACAAAGAAAGCUGAAAAAUUUCCCUGGGCAUGCCACACCAGCCAUAGCAUAAGAUUUGGUUGGCUAAAGUUUGAGAUCUAGCGUACCACUCCAGCCAUAGCCCAGAUUCGGCUGGCUGAAGUUUGAGGUUUGGCGCUCCUCACCAGUCAAAGCAACACUAGAUGCUUUUUUUCGAAAAUUCAUCUUUAAGUUCUGAAACUUAUCUCACUUUAUUUCUAAGCAUUUCUUGGUCCAAAUAGCUUGGUUUUUAGGCUCUAAUAAACUCAUGAGAUGACAUUAAACAGUACGAAAGAUAGGGGUGUUACAGAAGGACGGACCGAGUCUGAAGCAACAUUAAUGGGCACCAGCUAACUCACUUACAACAAUAGGAGGAAGCAAUCAAAUCAAGGAAAGAUACACGAGCUAGAUAGAUCAUACACGGAUAGUCCUGCCUAACCUUGGGGUCCUCAGAUCAUACACCCAGCCAGAUGUUGCAGAAAAGUCCGAAAUCCAUGUCAACCAUUGCUCAACAAGACGUAGAUGUGAGUAAGUGGGAGUCUUCAUACAGAGGCGAAUUCAGCUUUUAAAGUUUGUAGGUUUUCCACGCUAGAUAAAAAUAAAUUCAAAGAGUAACUCAGGGAAUUUGAUCCCACAACCAAGAAAAGAGGUCAAUAAAACUUUUACAAAUUCCCCUUCUCCACUAGACCAACAAUAUACUUUGUUUAUAGGGUUUCCAAUUUAUAAUUAUUAUAUAUUUACUAAAUUUCUCUAUAUAAAUAGUAAAUCAGCACAAAAGUUACUAGGUUUUCGGGAAACCCACCCAGACCCCUAGAUCCGCCCCUGUCUUCAUGGGUAAGCUAGUUUAAAAUAGCACCCUAAUCGAAUACACACCAAAUUAUCUUUCGUCUCUAAGCAAUACGCUGCUCUCUUAUGCUCUUAAGCUUUUGUAUUCCAUCAUUUGUUGUUCUAAAUUAUUUAAUAACAUUAAGUUUUUCGCAA